UACGGAAGGCAGCAGUGGGGAAUAUUGCACAAUGGGCGCAAGCCUGAUGCAGCCAUGCCGCGUGUAUGAAGAAGGCCUUCGGGUUGUAAAGUACCUUCAGUCGUGAGGAAGGUGUUAAGGUUAAUAACCUUAGCAAUUGACGUUAGCGACAGAAGAAGCACCGGCUAACUCCGUGCCAGCAGCCGCGGUAAUACGGAGGGUGCGAGCGUUAAUCGGAAUUACUGGGCGUAAAGGGCACGCAGGCGGUUAAUUAAGUUGGAUGUGAAAUCCCCGGGCUAACCUGGGAAUGGCAUUCAAGACUGGUUAGCUAGAGUCUUGUAGAGGGGGUAGAAUUCCAUGUGUAGCGGUGAAAUGCGUAGAGAUGUGGAGGAAUACCGGUGGCGAAGGCGGCCCCUGGACAAAGACUGACGCUCAUGUGCGAAAGCGUGGGGAGCAAAC
rnacentral:rRNA from 1 species